GGGCCCGCAAAGUAUACAGAUUAUAGUAAUGUAAUCAUGCUGUGGUGGCCCCCUCUCCCUCCCCCAUCCCCGCGACUGCCGUCCAGAAAAGUCUAGGAGCCUUCCGCCCUCCGGGCCACUGCCGAGUUUUGCCCUGUCCGCCGCCGGAGGUGUUGCCUGCGGCCUGCCUACGAGUGGAUCCUUCCGCAACAGAGGCUAUCGCCCCCCUCCCUCCCUCCCUCCCUCCCGUGGGCGCGCUCGUCGAGCCAUCCGGCGGCUUCGCCGUGACGGCGGCGAGCGACAGAGUGCCGAUCUCGGCAUACAAUGGUUCAUGGUCCAAAGUGCUAUAGCCAAUCGGAUGGAUUCCCCGCAGAUUCUACCUCAAAUCAUAUGCUGCCCUGUGUGAGGCAUUGUCGCGUCGGGCUUCUCGACAGCCAAGAACAGGGAGGAUAAAAGUUGCAGAUGUGGAUUUCGAUUUGAACAAAGAUCCGCACAUCGACCUUAAGGCGGACAUCUCUCAUUCUGAUGAGCUACUACGAUCAAUCCCGCUAGAAGUUCUGGAAGGGGCUCAGUCGGCGCAGAAGGAGAGCUUCAUGAUGAGAUUGCAAGUGCUGAAUCAGGCUAUUAUUCAGUCUAUUAUGCUAAGAUGUACAAUGGACCUAAACUGAACUGAAAAUGUUCAAGGGAAUGGAGAAAUUUUUUCAUGCUACAAGCUAUCGAAGAUUUAUGGUCACCAAUCGGAGAUAUAGAUCAGACUUGGCUGUCGUGUUUCAUUUUGGAGACAUCAGGAUCUGUUCGUGUCAUUCCAAUAGUAUCUAGUUAAAAGAUUUCCCGUGUUCUAUGUGCACGUAAAGAUCUCAUGUACAUAGUCCUUCGUUACUAGCUUAUAUACUUUAUGUUGCAAGUAUGUUGUAACUACUAUCGAAUUGUUCCCACAUGCUUUAUUUUUGGGGCAUCAAGGCCUGUUUGAUAAAUUUUUAUGCCCCCGAUAAGCUUCGUAUUUCUGCAGCAGCAACAAUUACUUGGAUUACUCAGCAUGACAUGAUAAGAAUCACAA